rnacentral:tmRNA from 1 species
GGGGGCGACAUGGCUUCGACGGGGAUAUCGAAAUCGCCUGGUGCAUGCCGAGGGGGCAGCUUUCCUCGUUAAUCCAGC